AGGGAGAAGCAGGCCUCACGGCGAACAGGGAGCCCGAUACGGGGCUCAAUCCCAGGACUCUGGGAUCAUGACCUGAGCCGAAGGCAGACACAUAACAACUGAGCCACCCAGGCGCCCCACUUUCUUUUCAUUUUUUAAUGUCACGUCUUAGGUUCCUCAGCUCUCUUGAAUCCUUUCAUCUGUCCCCCUUCCACACUGCUACCUCCUCUACCCCUGUUUCCAUCCCUGCCCGGCUCUUCUCCUGGUAUCUCCCGAUAAUCACUGGAGCUUUGAGACAGUUCCCCACUGUGGGCUCUUGAGGGGCUCAGAGACCCCACAAGCAACCAUCUGGGGUGAAACGGCCCGACUGAGAACAGGAAUUGAAACUCACCCACUAACACUUUGUAUUUGUCACACCCAGAACUUCCUCUUUGAAGGCAAGAAGGUUUCAAAGGCCCCAGACUCUUCACCCCAAUUUUCUCUCUUAAAGAAAUGUGUUCAAAAGUAUAGUAGGUUGAAAACAAUCACAUUACAUUUACUACCAUUAGCCAUACACCAGCGUAUGGGACAGCAGGGGUAUGCAAAUUCUCAUUGCCAUACAACGCAUCUCUAGCACCUGUUCAUUUUGUGACUGAACAUCUGUACCCACAGCUCUGCGUUUCCUCUUCCCUGCCCCCACGGGAUCCCAUCGUUCUUUCUGUUUCUAUAAAUUUGACUACUUUAGAUACCACGUGUAAGGAGAAUCAUAGGGUAUUUGUCUUUCUGUGACUUGCUCAUUUCACUUGGCAGAAGGGCCAGAAUAUCCUUCUUUUCUAAGAUGGAAGAACAUUCCGUUGUUAUGUAGAUGCCUCCGGUUCUUUCUCCAUUCCUGUGUGUGGGGACAUGUGGGUGCUUGACUCUGGAGAAGAACACUGCAUCGAACGGGGAUGUGCAAGUGUCCUUCGUCACGUUGCUUCCAAUUCUUGGAAGUGAUGUAACAUCGGGAGUGAGACGGCUCCAUCACGUGAAGCGACAAGUUGAGUGUCAUCGUCGGAAAACAGGCAGCUGAUGGUCCAUUGCCAACGUGACCCUUUCGUCCAGAUGAUUCUUCCAGACUCUCUGGGUAUGACCCAAGCCAUAUAUCUGAAAGCACGUCGUACAUGUGGACUCACAGAGUCAGUCUCUUCAAGCUCCAUGAGGAAAGGAAGAGAGGACAAAAUGUGGUUUGGAUCCCCUUCAUUCUACUCGGCCCGUAAAGUACAGACAUGGAGUCAUUUCCCUUGAACACAGAACACAGGGAAGAAGAAAGGAUGC